GACGAACGCUGGCGGCGUGCCUAAUACAUGCAAGUCGAGCGAAAAGGCCCUGCUCUUGUGCCUUGCUCGUUAGCCGCGCACGGGUGUGUAACGCGUGGAUCCUCUCCCUGUCAUUGGGGUAACACCACGGAACACGGGCGCUAAUCCCGUAUAACCUCCUGAACCGCGGGGUGGAACGGUGAGAUGCGGCGGUGGGGGAUGGACUCGCGGCUUACCAGUUUGUUGGUGAGGUAGUGGCUUACAAAGGUUUUGAAGGGUAGCCGGCCUGGGAGGGUGACAGGGCACAAUGGGACUGAGAUACGGCCCAGAAUGCAACGGGAGGCAGCAGUGGGGAAUAUGGCGGAAUGGGCGGACGCGUGAUGCAACAGCGUCGCGUGCGGAAAGACGGGCUUCGGGUUGUAAACCACUUUCGAAUGUAACGAGGAGUGAGUGACGGUAACGAGUAAAGAAGCAACGGCUAACUACGUG
rnacentral:rRNA from 1 species